AAAACAACGCCUGAACUGAAAUGGCCAGACCGUUCCCAUCCCAGUUCUCUCUGUUCUUCAGAGUUCAGAAAAUCAUCCUCCAUGAUGGUACACGGAGCAUGCAUUCAAGAAAUGGAGUAAGUUCUGUCUAUCUCCUCGGAGAAGCAAAGGUGCAUUGUCUUCUCCAGAUUGCUAGGGCCUAAACCCCACAAGUCAACUGCACCUCUACGUUCAUAUGUAUAUUUCAUGUUUCUACUCGUGUACCCAAGGCCGGCUCUAAGGGAGGGGCAGGCAAUGCGACUGCCGGGGGGCCAUGAAGCUUGGGGCCCAAGAUAAUAUAGGUAAUUAGUACAUAUAAUUUUCUAUUUGGCAUAAUAAGCAUUUGAAUAUCCAAGACAAACAAAUCAAAGCCUUAGAUUACUCUUCCUUCCGGUCCAAUUAUACAUAACGGUAGGGAAACAUCAGAUAGUACACACGCCAUCAUAGUAAGCAACUGAAAGCCCAAGUUUGAUUUUGGUAAUUAAUGACACCAAGUUGCUAAUGCCUUGUGGUU